UUUAGCGUACAGCAUGUCGUCCAGGUCCCAGGCCAACAGGCGCCGCAGCAGCACAAGUGACUCGUCGAAGUACUCAGCGAUCAUGACGAGCGAGAACACUUCCUCCACCUGGCGGAUGAGGCCCGCCAGGAUAAUUUAUGCAGGAGGAAGCAAGACACCAUACUGUGAGCAGCCCCAUGGGGAGGUACCACGUGACAAUCCCCUAGGAAUUGGGCCUUCAGUCCACAAGCCUGUUUGAAGAACUGAAUGCUGCCAACAAUUGCAUGUGCGAGCUUGGAUGGAGAGCCCUUGCAACCAACUCUUUGGAUGAGACUGCAUCCCCAGCAGCCAGCUUGACUGAACCAGAGGAACCCAACUAAGUUGCACCUGGAAUCCUAACCUCAGGAAGCCAGUUAACAAAUGUUUGAUAUUUACAGCUGCUAAGUUUUGAGGUGAUUUGAUUACCCAGGAAUAGAUAACCAACACAUGGACAGAGGCCCUUGAAGAUCCUUGAAGAAUUCUACGCUACUGAUGUAUAUAAACUGAGGACUAGGAGACAAAUCAUUUACAUAGUCUGGCAACUCAGAUAGUUACCAAAUCCUUUUGCUCUCUGUCAUGGCUCCCUAUCUUGUAGAUGAAUGUCAUGGGCUUUGAGGCAACCAAUUUGUUACAUGAUUCUGUUAAGGCUUCUUGAGCCUUAUUCAUUCUUAAGCACAUUUUUUUGAGCAUCUAUUAUGUGCCAGGCCCUGUUCUAGGUUCAAGAAAUAUGACAGUAUAAAAGA